UUUAUUCCUGUGCGGAUGGAUUAAAAAACUACUCCAGACUGGUAGACAUGACAGAUGAGUAUUGGAAAUAUGAACAUGGACUUAAAACUUUGAUGUGCAGCAAAAAAGUUCAUCGUUGAUGAUAGUGAUUUUCUAAGCUAUAUUGACUGGAACAGGGUUAUUCUUCAGAAAAACAGAGCUGUCAAUGCUGCAAUUUUGUUGUGAAAGUCACAAUCCAUGUCAGAAGUUGCUUGUUUUACUAUACAGCAAAGAAGAAGAAAUUGUACUGUAUGGGAAAUAGUUAAUUUUGAAUAUCUCAGCAACCAAAAUGUUUACAACAAUGAAACUUCACACUCUAGUAGCUGAUAACAAUAAAAACCAGUAGCUAAAAGGAUUUUAUCAAGGUGAUGAAUUCCAUGGGUUGGUAGAAACUUAGAAUGAUACCACCAGUCACCAACACCCCGUAGACCAGAGCAAACUAUCGAGUAGUGUGGACAGAAGCUGCAGUUUCCAGCGUAGCACUGUAUAGUAGCUGCUCUUCUUGCCGAUCCGGCUGUCGUGGUCGAAGUUCGGGUUUUUUGCUGGUCUUCGUUUACAGUUGAACUACAUCCAGGAUCGGUUGCAGCCUUAGAAGGAAGAAGGACUAUAUUCCUGUGCGGAUGGAUUAAAAAACUACUCCAGACUGGUAGACAUGACAGAUGUGUAUUGGAAAUAUGAACAUGAACUUAAAACUUUGAUGUGUAGCAAAAAAGUUCAUCGUUGACGAUAGUGAUUUUCUAAGCUAUAUUGACUGGAACAGGGUUAUUCUUUAGAAAUACAGAGCUGUCAAUGCUGCAAUUUUGUUGUGAAAGUCACAAUCCAUGUCAGAAGUUGCUUGUUUUACUAUACAGCAAAGAAGAAGAAAUUGUACUGGACCGACACCAUUAGCUUAUCGUGUUUUCUAAUCUUUGUAGUGAUUCCUAGUGUCACGGUAUAGAACUUGAAUAUAAAAACGGGGAGAACUGUGUAGGCAGCCGGGUAGC
rnacentral:lncRNA from 1 species